rnacentral:rRNA from 1 species
CGAACGCUGGCGGCAGGCUUAACACAUGCAAGUCGAGCGCACCGCAAGGUGAGCGGCAGACGGGUGAGUAACGCGGGGGAAGCUACCCAACCCUACGGAAUAACCCAGGGAAACUUGGACUAAUACCGUAGACGCCCUUUUGGGGAAAGAUUUAUCGGGGAUGGAUGAGCCCGCGUUGGAUUAGCUAGUUGGUGGGGUAAAGGCCUACCAAGGCGACGAUCCAUAGCUGGUCUGAGAGGAUGAUCAGCCACAUUGGGACUGAGACACGGCCCAAACUCCUACGGGAGGCAGCAGUGGGGAAUAUUGGACCAUGGGCGCAAGCCUGAUCCAGCCAUGCCGCGUGAGUGAUGAAGGCCUUAGGGUUGUAAAGCUCUUUCAGUAGGGAAGAUAAUGACGGUACCUACAGAAGAAGCCCCGGCUAACUUCGUG